AGCGAACGCUGGCGGCAGGCUUAACACAUGCAAGUCGAGCGGGCACUUCGGUGUCAGCGGCAGACGGGGGAGUAACACGUGGGAACGUACCCUUUGGUUCGGAAUAACGCUGGGAAACUAGCGCUAAUACCGGAUACGCCCCUUUGGGGAAAGGCUUGCUGCCGAAGGAUCGGCCCGCGUCCCUUUAGCUGGUCGGUAGGGUAAUGGCCGACCAAGGCGACGAUCGGUAGCUGGUCUGAGAGGAUGAUCCGCCACACUGGGACUGAGACACGGCCCGGACUCCUACGGGAGGCAGCAGUGGGGAAUAUUGCACAAUGGGCGCAAGCCUGAUCCAGCCAUGCCGCGUGAGUCAUGAAGGUCUUAGAGUUGUAAAGCUCUUUUGUCCGGGACGAUAAUGACGGUACCGGAAGAAUAAGCCCCGGCUAACUUCGUG
rnacentral:rRNA from 1 species